UCUUCACCCUGUGGGUGAAGAGCUUUCACAGCAAACACUGAUUGCGUUGGAAUCCCUGCUUUCUGCAGGAAGUAGGCUCUCCUCAGACUCUGGAGUGAGGGGUUCUUUUCCCUUUCGGUGUCCCCACAAUUUUCCUGAUGUCUGUCUUGCCUCAGAUAUGUGGGUUUUGAGAACUCAUCCCUUUGGCUCACAGGCCUUUCAUCCCGGGACCUCGUCAACAUUUAAUAAGAAACUUAUUUUUAACCCUAGAACUAAGGCUGGGCUCAGAUGAGGUUUUUGAGGGCUGUGGAAGGAGGAGGAAUCGUCGGUUCUGUACAUGAGAGAUGCAGGUACCUUGGACGGCCAGAAGAGGGCAUCAUUUCUCACCCGGAACUGGAGUUACAAGCGGUUUGUAUGCUACCCGAAAGGGUGCUGGAAACUGAAUUUGGGUCUUUUGAAAAAGCAGCAAGUGUUUGUAACCUCAAAGCCACCAAAGCAAACUACGGUGACUGGUCUCCAAAGACGACAUUCGACGGUCUCACUCUGUUGCUAUGGAUGACGGGGAAUCUGCUCCAGGAAGGUCUCUAACUCACGAGUGCUGGAAGUAACGGUCUGACCCACCAUGCCGAGCAAUGUUGCAAACAGCAGUACCAUCUGGGGACCUGGGAAGGACAGUUCUCAUCCAAGCC